rnacentral:rRNA from 1 species
CCGGGAUGGACGUACCUCUGGUGUACCAGUUGUCCUGCCAAGGGCAUGGCUGGGUAGCUAUGUACGGAAUGGAUAAGCGCUGAAAGCAUCUAAGCGCGAAGCCAACUUCAAGAUAAGAUUUCCCACCGCAAGGGUAAGACCCCAGAAAGACUAUCUGGUUGAUAGGUCGAAGGUGUAAGUGCAGCAAUGUAUUUAGCUUAUCGAUACUAAUAGGUCGAGGACUUGACCAAU